rnacentral:rRNA from 1 species
GACGAACGCUGGCGGCGUGCUUAACACAUGCAAGUCGAACGGAAAGGCCCUGCGUUUGUGGGGUGCUCGAGUGGCGAAAGGGUGAGUAACACGCGAGUAACCUGCCCUUGACUUUGGGAUAACUUCAGGAAACUGGGGCUAAUACCGGAUAGGAGCUCCUGCUGCAUGGUGGGGGGUGGAAAGUUUCGGCGGUUGGGGAUGGACUCGCGGCUUAUCAGCUUGUUGGUGGGGUGGUGGCUUACCAAGGCUGUGACGGGUAGCCGGCCUGGGAGGGUGACCGGCCACAUUGGGACUGAGAUACGGCCCAGACUCCUACGGGAGGCAGCAGUGGGGAAUAUUGCACAAUGGGCGGAAGCCUGAUGCAGCAACGCCGCGUGCGGGAUGACGGCCUUCGGGUUGUAAACCGCUUUCGCCUGUGACGAAGCGUGAGUGACGGUAAUGGGUAAAGAAGCACCGGCUAACUACGUG